GCGCCCAUAGCUCAGAUGGAUAGAGCGUCGGACUACGAAUCCGAAGGUCAGAGGUUCGAUUCCUCUUGGGCGCACCA
rnacentral:tRNA from 1 species